CGAAGGUCAGGGGCAGCGACCGAGAGUGCCAGGCUGUGACGGCACAGGAGCAGCUGAGAGGAGCUACCCCACAUCCGAGGUCAGGGGAGUCGACCACGAGGAGCAACCCCACAUCCAAGGAACGGUGGCUGCACGGGCAAAGGAGGGCCGAGAGAAGCUACUCCACAUUCAAGGUCAGGAGGAGCAGCCGUGAGGAGAUACCCCUCGUCCAAGGUAAUGAUUUAAGACUAUCAUGCAAAUGACUGCAAGCCUACAGAUUCACAUCUCAGUGAGAUGCGAUCAGUUCUACUAAAGCCUGGUCAAAUCCAAGUACGAAAAGUCAUCGGAAUAAAACCCAUGGCCCAUAACAAUGGGGCCAUUAAGAAAAUUAAACUCCCAAGCUCAGAAAAUGUCUCCAGUAAAUCUGUAAACAUCACCUGGCUUGUAAGUAGAAAAAUGAGCACUUGUACCUCUGGGAAGAACUGACUCAUUUGAAAAGACUCUGAUGCUGGGCA